ACUCAAAGGAAUAGACGGGGGCCCGCACAAGCGGUGGAGUAUGUGGUUUAAUUCGACGCAACGCGAAGAACCUUACCAACCUUUGACAUGUCCAGUAUGGUUCUAGGAGACUAGGACCUUCAGUUCGGCUGGCUGGAACACAGGUGCUGCAUGGCUGUCGUCAGCUCGUGUCGUGAGAUGUUGGGUUAAGUCCCGCAACGAGCGCAACCCUCAUCUUUAGUUGCCAUCAGGUCAGGCUGGGCACUCUAAAGAAACCGCCGGUGACAAGCCGGAGGAAGGUGGGGAUGACGUCAAGUCCUCAUGGCCCUUACAGGUUGGGCUACACACGUACUACAAUGGUGGUGACAGUGGGUUGCGAAGCCGCAAGGUGGAGCCAAUCCCCAAAAACCAUCUCAGUUCAGAUUGCACUCUGCAACUCGAGUGCAUGAAGUUGGAAUCGCUAGUAAUCGCAGAUCAGCACGCUGCGGUGAAUACGUUCCCGGGCCUUGUACACACCGCCCGU
rnacentral:rRNA from 1 species